rnacentral:tRNA from 1 species
GCGGCUGAUAGCUGAUGGGAGGCACGAUAUUACGAUGGUCGUCGGCAGCGGCAUUUUUGGCGAUGCCGCCGAUCAUGCCGGCGGCGGCCGCGC